UACAUUAAAGAGAUUUUUCAAUCUGUGUAAACAAUGAUUAUGCUUCACAAGAAAAGUAGAGAGACAACAAAACAGGUAAAAAGUGUGAUGGUCACUAGUCAAUGUUCAUUUCAUUUCAUUUGCUUCCCCAUUACUUGGGCUUUCCUUUGUCGUCCCUAAACUUGAGGAGGAAUCUUGAAGUUUCUAAAACAUGUCAAUUUGAGUAGA
rnacentral:lncRNA from 1 species